GAAAUGCGAUAAGUAGUGUGAAUUGCAGAAUUCAGUGAAUCAUCGAAUCUUUGAACGCACAUUGCGCCCCUCGGCAUUCCGUGGAGCAUGCCUGUUCGAGCGUCAUCUACACCCUCAAGCUCUGCUUGGUGUUGGGCGUCUGUCCCGCCUCCGCGCGCGGACUCGCCCCAAAUGCAUUGGCAGCGGUUCCUUGCCCCCCUCUUUGCGCAGCACAUUGCCAUUCGAGGCGGCGGCGGCCCGCGUCCAACAAGCUCAACCCCCCCGUCUUUGACCUCGGAUCAGGUAGGGAUACCCGCUGAACUUAAGC
rnacentral:misc_RNA from 1 species